GUGGGGAAUCUUGCGCAAUGGGCGAAAGCCUGACGCAGCAACGCCGCGUGGGGGAUGAAGGCUCUCGGGUUGUAAACCCCUUUCAGCAGGGACGAAUCAAGACGGUACCUGCAGAAGAAGCCCCGGCUAACUACGUGCCAGCAGCCGCGGUAACACGUAGGGGGCAAGCGUUGUCCGGAUUUAUUGGGCGUAAAGAGCUCGUAGGUGGCUGAGUAAGUCGGAUGUCAAAUCCCCAGGCUCAACCUGGGAUCCCAUCCGAUACUGCUCUGGCUAGAGUCCGGUAGGGGAGCGUGGAAUUCCUGGUGUAGCGGUGAAAUGCGCAGAUAUCAGGAGGAACACCAGCGGCGAAGGCGGCGCUCUGGGCCGGUACUGACACUGAGGAGCGAAAGCGUGGGGAGCGAACAGGAUUAGAUACCCUUGUAGUCC
rnacentral:rRNA from 1 species